rnacentral:rRNA from 1 species
UACGUAGGGGGCAAGCGUUGUCCGGAAUCAUUGGGCGUAAAGAGCGUGUAGGCGGUUCGGUAAGUCCGCUGUAAAAGUCCAGGGCUCAACCCUGGAAAGCCGGUGGAAACUGUCGAACUAGAGUCCGGAAGAGGCGAGUGGAAUUCCUGGUGUAGCGGUGAAAUGCGCAGAUAUCAGGAGGAACACCAAUGGCGAAGGCAGCUCUCUGGGACGGUACUGACGCUGAGACGCGAAAGCGUGGGGAGCGAACAGG